rnacentral:ncRNA from 2 species
UUUACCUGUCGCAACUGGCGCCUAAGGUGGAUACCACCGGGGAGCGGCAUUGUAGAGGCCCACCAGUCGCUCGCCUGGGCUGGAGCC